GUUUCAUACAUUUUGCCGUCCGUCGCGGGCGUCCGCGUGGGUCGUCCGCGUCGCACUGAAAAGGCCCUAAUGAGUAUAAAAAUUCAAAUC